rnacentral:rRNA from 1 species
AGUACGUGAAACCGUUCAGGGGUAAACCUGAGAAACCCAAAAGAUCGAAUGGGGAGAUUCAUCGUCAGCCGGAUUGGCCUCCGUGCGGUUCGCGAUGCUCGGCGUGGUCUUCGGGCCGUCGUUGGGGCACGCGUCCGCCGCGGUACGUCCGAUUCGGUCGGCGUGCACUUCUCCCCUAGUAGGACGUCGCGACCCGUUGGGUGUCGGCCUACGAGGCGCGGAUCGUCGACUGUCGCGUCGCGUUCACGCGCGCACGCGGCAGACGCCGCUCAUCCGGCCGACUGCCCGGCGGUAUAGAACGCUUUUGAAUUACGGUAAAGAGCCGCACCAAGUGCGUCCGGCUCGUCGGCAGGCUCGUCUCGCUCGGAUUUACGGACCUCGUUCCGUUGCCGGGCGCUUGGCGCGGCCGUUGGUCGACGAAGCUCUCGGACCGGCUCGGCUCGUUCGAACGGAUUUACCGGUCGGCGACGCUACUGCUUUGGGUACUUUCAGGACCCGUCUUGAAACACGGACCAAGGAGUCUAACAUGUGCGCGAGUCAUUGGGACUUGGAACGAAGCCUAAAGGCGCAAUGAAAGUGAAGGUCGUAACCGAGAGAUCGGUCGACCGAGGGAGGAUGGUUCGCGUCACGAUGCGAACUCGCACUCCCGGGGCGUCUCGCGCUCAUUGCGAGCGGAGGCGCACCCAGAGCGUACACGUUGGGACCCGAAAGAUGGUGAACUAUGCCUGGUCAGGACGAAGUCAGGGGAAACCCUGAUGGAGGUCCGUAGCGAUUCUGACGUGCAAAUCGAUCGUCGGAACUGGGUAUAGGGGCGAAAGACUAAUCGAACCAUCUAGUAGCUGGUUCCCUCCGAAG